CGCCAGCUGCCGCGCCGGGUCCGCUCGGCGCCUCCCGGAGUUCGCCCGCCGGGGCUGCCAGGGGACCGCCGCCGAGGUCACUGUGGACGCGGAAAUGCGCUUCCCGUGCUUUGCUUGCCAGUGAGGGUGCCGUCCCCGCAGGUGCGCUGGGUCGAAUUCCACGGCGAUUGCCCUUCGCAUCCUGCGGCCCCGCCUCCGGGCCCCGCUGAGCGGGAGGCGGGCCGAGCGCAUAUCCCCAGGGGAGACCGUUCCCGGACCGCUGGCCCUUAACCCGGCGAGAAGACUAACGGCGGGAAGUCAGCUACCGGCAUAACCAAUAUGAAGGUUUUCCUUGUAGAGCCGGCCAUUUGCCUCAGUGCCUUUGCCCUGACUUUGAUCACCCCACUGACAACACAGUAUGUGUACAGGAGAAUAUGGGAAGAAACAGGCAACUACAGCAUUGCACCUGAGAGCAAUAUUUCUGAGUGUGAAAAAAACAAAAGCAGCCCGAUUUUUGCAUUCCAGGAGGAAGUUCAGAAAAAAGUGUCUCUUUUUAAUCUGCAGAUGGACUUAAGUGGGUUAAUUCCUGGUCUAGUGUCCACGUUCAUACUUCUGUCCCACAGUGAUCAUCAUGGACGAAAAUUCCCUUUGAUUUUGACUUCUGCUGGCGCUCUUGUGACCAGUGCCUGGCUCUGUUUGCUUUCCUAUUUCACCUUUCCAUUCCAGCUUUUGAUUGCAUCUACCUUCAUUGGGGCACUUUUCGGCAACUCUACCACAUUUUUGGGUGCCAGUUUCGCCUACAUAGUUGAUCAAUGUAAAGAAGAAAAACAAAGAACAAUUCGAAUAGCUAUCAUUGACUUCAUGCUUGGACUUGUUACUGGAUUAACAGGGCUGUCUUCUGGCUAUUUUAUUAGAGAGCUGGGUUUUGUGUGGUCCUUUUUCAUUAUUACUAUGGCUCAUACUGUUAACUUGAUUUAUAUUUUAUUUUUUCUUGGUGAUUCACUGGAGGAGUCUUUAUCUCAGAAUGUUUCCAUAUCAUGUAGUGAAAGCUUUAAAAACCUAUUUUACCGAACUUACAUGCUUUUUAAAAAUGCUUACAGUGGGCAGUGGUCUUUGCUCUGUUUGUUACUUUUCACAAUGAUCACUUAUUUUUUUGUGAUAAUUGGCAUUGCCCCCAUUUUUAUCCUCUAUGAAUUGAAUUCACCACUCUGCUGGAAUGAAGUUCUUAUAGGUUAUGGGUCAGCUUUGGGUAGUAUCUCUUUUUUGAGUAGUUUCCUAGGAAUAUGGUUUUUUUCUUACUGUAUGGAAGAUAUCUACAUGGCCUUCAUUGGAAUUUUUACCACCAUGGUGGGAAUGGCUAUGACUGCUUUUGCCAAAACAACAUUGAUGAUGCUUUUAGUCAGGCUGCUCUUCCUCUUCACUAUUGUGCCGCUUUCUGUUCUACGGUCUAUGAUGUCAAAAGUGGUUCAUUCUACUGAACAAGGGACUCUGUUUGCUUGUAUUGCUUUCUUUGAAACACUUGGUGGAGUCAUUGCAGUUUCUACUUUUAAUGGAAUUUAUUCAGCAACUGUUGCAUGGUACACAGGCUUCACCUUUCUGCUGUCUGCUGGUCUAUUACUAAUUCCAGCGAUCAGUCUAUGUAUUGUCAAGUGUAGCAGCUGGAACGAGAGAAGCAAUGAACUUCUUAUCCAGGAAGAUGCCAGUGAAGACACAUCAGACCCAUGAUUCAUUGUGAUUUCAAAACAAUGCUCAUGCCAUGCACUCUGACUCGUGAGGCGUACCGCCCAGCUCAGUCAGUGCUUCAGGAACAGUCAGUGGUUAUGUCCUUGCUUCUGGCCCGGGCAAGGAGAGGAGCCACUACUCCAGCGCCUGGAGGACCGCGCACUUCGAGCACUUUAUGAACAUUGUGUGAUGUGUUUCCGGUACAGAGAAAAAAUCUCAAAACACUUGUCCUUUUGGGAUUUACAAAAGAAACUGAAACUUAACGGUACCAGGAGGGAUUAAGACACUUGAUAUGAUCAAGUACAAUAACCUCCCUGGCAUACUCCAGUCUCUCACACUGAGACCUCCGUUUCUUUAUAAAAUGGCUUUCUGACCUCUCUAGGAUUUUGAAGGACAACUGGCAAAAAUUAUGAUGAAUCAUUCAAUGGAAAAAUAAUAAUAGAAGUUUUAAAUAUUUAUAAUUUUACCUCUACUUAGGUUGUGCUUUGUUUUAUAGAGCCCAUCAAGGUACUAUUGAUAGUAAAAGCUUUUAACAGGUGCAAAAUCCUUAAAAUAGAAGCUCUUGAAAGAAUACAUUGUUUUCAUUUUUCCUAAUAUGUUUCAUCCGUGACAGGUGUGAUAAUAUUUCUAUAUGCAACAAAGGGUAAUUAGAAAAAUCAGAUUAUAAAUAAAAUUGUUUCUAAAGAAAUGUAAAAACUGAAUAAAUAGUCAAUCGGGAAGUAAAGUGAUAUUAUAGCACCAGUCUUCAUUCCUUAUUUCUGUCAAAGGGUAUCCAUUUCCUACUGGCUCACACCCAUCCCAGGCCUGGACCCUGAAAGCACCACAUGCUUUCAUCCUUUACACACUGUUCCAUUUGCCCUCCCUCCCUGGUGACACUGAAACUUCUAAGUCUCAGCCAAAAUGUUGCUUCCUUUGUGAAGCCUUGACAUUUUCCCUGUAUCUACCCUGGUCCGGCCCCACUGUCCCACAGAGCCCACAGCUCUUUGUGUCUCCUUCCAUCCUAGCAUUUUCCAGGGCUUUGUAAUGUUUGUUUCCCCUACCAGACAAGGGGAGGUACAGUCUGAUUCCUUAUUAUAUCCUCAAUAAAUGUUUGAGGGGAGGUACAGUCUGAUUCCUUAUUAUAUCCUCAAUAAAUGUUUGAGGGGAGGUACAGUCUGAUUCCUUAUUAUAUCCUCAAUAAAUGUUUGUUGAACCAAAUACAAAAUUUUGUUUUUACUUGUAAAAAUAAUUUAAAGCCACAUAUUUAAUGCAUCAGGAGAGUAACCACUGAUAUGCUAUACUUGUCAAGCCAGCUUGCAAAUAAAUUGAAAAAUAUAGUA